GUUGUUUACAAAUCAGUCUAAAGAAGUAAAUGGAAAGGAGCGAAUGCAGCUACAUUUGGUUAUCUUAAGUUUUAAUUCAUUUUAUUCCAUUUAGUUCCUUUCUACAUAAGUGCAGAGGAGAACUGCAGUUGUCCGCAUGUAAACUUUUAGCAUUUAUUACCAAUAUGAGUACAUAGCAAUCAAUCCGUUACUGUUUCAACACCCAGGGGUGUUUCAUGUCUUUAUUCUCAAACAGUUAUUAUUUUUUCUAUCUUUUUUUAUUAAUGCAUCACUUCCUACUGUCCUUAUCUAUUAUUCUAUAUAUUCUGUGUUUCC
rnacentral:lncRNA from 1 species